AUCCGACGUACAUAGAGUCGGGCAAAAGAGCUGAAUGGGUACAGACACGAUGAGAACAACUCUAAAGGCAUACUAUUGUGAUGCAUGUGUAGAACUGGGUGCAUGCAAAGAAAGUUCAUUCUGCGGCUGUUCAAAAUGUUCCAUGUGUGGGCUUCCAUAAAUUUAUCCGGUUAGUUCUUGGUCGGAUAGCUGUUCGAAAUGCUGUAUUUACUUAUUUCAGAGGUUUCUC